UAGCGGAGGGUGCAAGCGUUAUCCGGAUUCACUGGGUUUAAAGGGUGCGUAGGUGGGCAGGUAAGUCCGUGGUGAAAUCCCCUGAGCUUAACUCGGGAACUGCCAUGGAUAUAUUUGUCUUGAAUAUUGUGGAGGUAAGCGGAAUAUGUCAUGUAGCGGUGAAAUGCUUAGAUAUGACAUAGAACACCAAUUGCGAAGGCAGCUUACUACACGAUUAUUGACACUGAGGCACGAAAGCGUGGGGGAUCAAACAGG
rnacentral:rRNA from 1 species